GACGAACGCUGGCGGCGUGCUUAACACAUGCAAGUCGAACGAUGAACUUGGAGCUUGCUCUGGGGGAUUAGUGGCGAACGGGUGAGUAACACGUGAGUAACCUGCCCUGGACUCUGGGAUAACUUCGAGAAAUCGGAGCUAAUACCGGAUAGGACCUGGCACCGCAUGGUUUGGGGUGGAAAGUUUUUCGGUUUGGGAUGGACUCGCGGCCUAUCAGCUUGUUGGUGAGGUAAUGGCUCACCAAGGCGUCGACGGGUAGCCGGCCUGAGAGGGUGACCGGCCACACUGGGACUGAGACACGGCCCAGACUCCUACGGGAGGCAGCAGUGGGGAAUAUUGCACAAUGGGCGCAAGCCUGAUGCAGCAACGCCGCGUGCGGGAUGACGGCCUUCGGGUUGUAAACCGCUUUUAGUAGGGAAGAAGCCUUCGGGUGACGGUACCUGCAGAAAAAGGACCGGCUAACUACGUGCCAGCCGCCGCAGUAAUAC
rnacentral:rRNA from 1 species